UAUCACUUUUAUAAGCUUCUCCUUGGUUCUAGCGUUCAUAUAAAUAAAAGAGACAAACAUGUAUGAUUUACAACUCUAGAUUAACCAACCCAACUGAUUCAACAUGUUUAGUCCUUUCAUCCUUGUUCUUAGUACUACCUCCAUGAUCCCACACUCCUAAUCAUAUGAGCUAAAAUGUUACACAUUCAAUCAUUGAGAGAUAUAAAGAAAAAGACACAUACAUAGAUAGAUUAUCUUUCCAUAAGGUUGAGCGAUCUGAUCUAACAAAUGUUAUAAGUGCUACACUCAUGAACUUUUCAUCCAUCAACUUUGUCUUGCUCACUAUGCUUAGGGUUAGAGAAGAACAAAUACACUUUAGGUUCUGUUGGUGUUUUCCACCAAUAGGACCCAUGCACUUGAUCUCUACCUUGUCUCUAUGAGCAGGUACACUUUGAGCAAAACACGGAGGAGUUUUAUAACUCUCAGACUCUACCAAGUGAAGGACCUGGAUCUACGAGCACAAACACACUAAGCAGGUUACUACCAACGCCGCACUUCGAACUGCUGGGCAAAGGAAGAACAUGAGUGACACCGUAUCAAGAGGUGCAGACGUCAAGGUCCGCACCUGAAUCAAAUGACGCACCUGAAGAAUGAACACGGUGAGAAGUCUUGUUAAGAAGACUUAAAACACUAAACCAUCGCCGAAAGGUAAGAUCGGUAGUUAUCCAUAUUUAUCCUUUCUGCAUUCCCUUUUUCCUUUAAUUAUUUACUUUCCUUAAAUAUAUUAUUAGUUAAUCAUGUUAUCUUGAAAAGAAAAUAAAAAUAUUAAAAAAUACUAAGCCCCAUGUGAGUAUACAAGUGGCAUAAAACCCCUAAGUACCUUCACUGUGGUGGCAUAAAAAUAAAAUAAAUAUUUCUUUUCUGCUUUAUAAAAUAAAAAUAUAAAAAUAGGGAGUAAUAUUUAUUGAGGAAGCUCAACAUGAUGAAGGCUAGAUAUUUAUUCUAACACUUAAUUAGUUCCACAAGCUUUGUUGUCUAUUUGAGCUUCACAGAAUUUAAGAAUCAACAAGACUAGCAGACGGAGGACAUUCUAAUCGCUGUCAGAAUGCUGCUGACUUUCAAAUAUACCUCUACCACCUGUUAGGUACAUCAAGAGAAAUUACGUCAAAAUUCAGCUUGGGGGAGAGCACCCCCAUUUAUCUCGCUAAGUAUUUCUACCUAUCUUUAUACUUAUAUUAUAUUAGAAUAUUAAAAUACAUAAACUAUAAAAACCAAAUAAAGAUUUUGUGCUUAUAUAUGUCUUUUGCUUAGUGUGUUUAAUAAAUAAAUAAAGUGGCUAUGCUAAUCUGAAUCUUAAUAAUAAAACUCUAGCAUGGAUAUGAUGAAUAGUUGCUCUGCCUAAUUUGCAAAUUUGAAGUUCUCUCUCAAAUUUAGACAUAACUGUUAUAAUUUAAAGCUUGCUCUAGAUCUAAACUUGUGGGAUAAAAACUUGAUCUGAAAUCUAAGUUGUUAACGGAUAUGAUAUGGGAAGGUUGAGCUGUUGUUUAUCUGUUCUUAGAGAUGCUAGAAUUCUAGAGAAUUUUAUCUUUAAAAAAUCUUUAAAAUAUUGCAUGUUGAGUUCCUGUAUGAUGAAAGUUUAAAUUCCUACCGCAGCCAUAUAUACAUGCUUGCUAGACUUUGAGCCACACAUUUACUAUUUACUGCUUAUAAGCAUUGAGUGUGGUCAAGCUGUGUAGACCCUUAGGAGCUUGUCAUGUGGUUAAAUCAAGAUUCACUUGCACGGUCACUCAUAUAUGCUACUUCUACUCCGGAAGUACCAUCCACAUAUAUCCAUCUCCAGAACCACCCAAAAAUAUUCUACUCCUAAUCCGCGAGAGAAUAGCCAAAAAUAUUUCUGUUUUCCCUUGUGAAAUAAAUUCUCAAGUUAUCUUACUACUACCACUUGCUAUAUUAUCUCAAGAGAUGAGUGCUGUGAAAAAAAAGAAAAGAGAAGAAAAGAAAAAAAAUAAACGAGGAAAUAAAAAGGGGCAAGUGCCCGGAACCUCGAAAGAAAGAAAAAGUGAGACGAGAGGUAAAAAUGGACAAGUGUCCGACAGUAGAAUUAGGGGUACAGAAUACCCACCUGAGAGGAAAAAAAAUGAAGGAUAGAGCAUCUCAUUCUCCCCAUAAAGUUUCAAAAAGCAAGGAAGGUAUGUAUCCCCUCAAAAGAGCAAAAGUAGAAUUAGACUUCCACCAUUGUUAUCACCAUCAUCACCAUACACCAUUCAUUCGCCACACAUGCACAUCUUGAUUUGACUUAUUGACUUGUUUCUCUGGAUCCAUGGUUUGACUAUGCAAUAAAUGUCUUGUAAGUAUGUAUUAGCUGUCUCCACCUAUGAGCUCCAGAUAUUAAAGCCUUAUUAGAGUAGGGUGAGAGAGAAGGCAAUGUCACUAUGCCUUAUACCACAAAUACCAUAUAUCUUGAGAGAAGGCAUAUACCAUCACUGCCUUGGUAAGGAUCCAGAAAUACCACAAAAGAGAGAUUUAGAGAGUCAUGCAAGGAAUCUCUGAGUUUUAUUUGAAAAUCUGCAAAAACUCCAGAGCUAUAGCUGAUCAAGAAUAAGAGACAUGGCACUUGGCUGGACUGUUCUAUCUUUUAACUACUCAAGACAGAAGUGACGGUUACAAGUCCCAUGGUGGAAGGUAAAGUAAGUAAGUUUUAGAUCUUGACAGUUUACUCUAACUCAGAGAUGAGAUCUUAUUUAAAAGCAUGUGUACCGUCAAAUUUUUAAGAUAUUGCAACAACUUCUGAUCCAUUGCUGAGUCUAUCCUUGCUCAGGGACGAGCAAGAGGUAAGCUUGGGGGAGUUUGUUGACGGUCCUUAAGUAUCAAAUUUAAUUAUCAAAUAAAUAAAGAAAAAGAUCCAAAUGAAAUCAACAUCUAGACUUAGGGUUUUAUCUCACAGAAUUCCAUGAGUUUUGGUGUUUGUCUAUUUCUACAGGGGGUUAUCAGGAAAUAUGGAAGAAAGGCCCACACGUCGGGAUUACAUAGAGAUAUUAACGUGCCGCGAAAUUAUCUUACAUCUAGAAGACUCCAGAAGCCACGAGACCGAAGCGGAGGUG
rnacentral:lncRNA from 1 species